UCGCGUUUACUUCACGAGAUG
ensembl:piRNA 21ur-3656 ncRNA